AAUAACCAAAUAUAAUACUUGGGCUAAGGGUCAAGUUGGUAAUUUUUCUUACAUAAUGACAAGAUUAUCAUAUAGUUUUUCAGAACCAUUACCAGGAGCACAAAGAGAUAAUGACGUGAGAGAAGAUGAUGAAGGCCAUGGAGCUUCAAUAUUGUCAUUCAA
rnacentral:antisense_RNA from 1 species